rfam:Selaginella moellendorffii unplaced genomic scaffold SELMOscaffold_71, whole genome shotgun sequence.
UACCUAGUUGAUCCUGCCAGCAGUCAUAUGCUUGUCUCAAAGAUUAAGCCAUGCAUGUGUAAGUAUAAACUGCUUUGUACUGUGAAACUGCGAAUGGCUCAUUAAAUCAGUAAUAGUUUAUUUGAUGGUACCUUACUACUCGGAUAACCAUAGUAAUUCUAGAGCUAAUACGUGCAAAGAGUCCCGACCUCUGGAAGGGAUGCACUUACUAGAUUCAAGGCCGAUGCGGGCUCGCCCAUAUUCUUGGUGAUUCAUGGUAACUUGUCGAAUCACGUGGCCCUCGUGCCAGCGAUACUUCAAUCAAAUUUCUGCCCUAUCAACUUUCGAUGGUAGGAUAGAGGCCUACCAUGGUGGUGACAAGUAACAGGGAAUUAUUAGGGUUUGAUUCUGGAGAGGGAGCCUGAGACACGGCUACCACAUCCAAGGAAGGUAGCAGGCGCACAAAUUACCCAAUCUCGAUACGGGGAGGUAGUGACAAUAAAUAACAAUACCGGGCUUUCAAAGUACAAUCUAAAUCUCUUAACGAAGAUCCAUUGGAGGGCAAGUCUUGUGCCAGCAGUCGUGGUAAUUCCAGCUCCAAUAGUGUAUAUCAAAGUUGUUGCAGUUAAAAAGCUCGUAGUUGGAUCUCGGGACGGGGCGAAUGGUCCGCCCUUGCGGGUGUGCACUGGUCACCCCAUCCUUUGAGUCAGUGACACUACUCUGGUCUUUACUGGCUGGGGUGCGGAGUCAGCGAUGUUACUUUGAAAAAAUUAGAGUGCUUAAAGCAGGCUCGUGCUCUGAAUACAUUAGCAUGGAAUAAUGCUAUAGGACUCUGGUCCUAUUGUGUUGGUCUCCGGGAUCGGAGUAAUGAUUAAUAGGGACAGUUGGGGGCAUUUGUACUCCAUUGUCAGAGGAAAUUCUUGGAUUUAUGGAAGACGAACUACUGCGAAAGAAUUUGCCAAGGAUGUUUUCAUUAAUCAAGAACAAAAGUUGGGGGCUCGAAGACGAUCAGAUACCGUCCUAAUCUCAACCAUAAAUGAUGCCGACUAGGGAUUGGCGGAUGUUAUUUGGAUGACACUGCCAGCACCUCAUGAGAAAUCAAAGUCUUUGGGUUCCGGGGGGAGUAUGGUCGCAAGGCUGAAACUUAAAGGAAUUGACGGAAGGGAACCACCAGGAGUGGAGCCUGCGGCUUAAUUUGACUCAACACGGGGAAACUUACCUGGUCCAGACAUAGUAAGGAUUGAUAGAUUGAGAGCUCUUUCUUGAUUCUAUGGGUGGUGGUGCAUGGCCGUUCUUAGUUGGUGAAGUGAUUUGUCUGGUUAAUUCUGUUAACGAAUGAGACCUCAGCUUGCUAACUAGCUACUCGGAGGUUUCCUCCGAGGCCAGCUUCUUAGAGGGACUAUUCGCUUCCAGCGGAUGGAAGUUUGAGGCAAUAACAGGUCUGUGAUGCCCUUAGAUGUUCUGGGCCGCACGUGCACUACACUGAUGAACUCAACGAGUGCGUGCCUGUGCCGAAAGGCUCGGGUAAUCUUUUGAAAUUUCAUUGUGAUGGGGAUAGAUAAUUGCAAUUAUUGGUCUUCAACGAGGAAUUCCUAGUAAGCGCGAGUCAUCAGCUCACGUUGACUAUGUCCCUGCCCUUUGUACACACCGCCCGUCACUCCUACCGAUUGAAGUGUUCGGAUUGCAGCGAUGCUGACGGUUCGCCGUCGGCGACGCUGUGAGAAGUUCAUUAAACCUUAUCAUUUAGAGGAAGGAGAAGUUUGUAAGCGACUAAUU